rnacentral:lncRNA from 13 species
CCAACGCUGCUCUGUGAUCCUGGGUAAGUCUCCUAACCUCUCACAACCAUGGUUUUUCGAUCUAUGAAAAAAGAGAUAAGAUCUAGGUAAUAAGAUCUAGGUGAUUCCUGGAUGCACAUAUAAUCUCUGCUUGUGGAUAGUGGAUCCUGCCAGGAAGAGAACUCUUCUGAAAUGUCCAUGCUCAUAGACUGGCUUGAAGAAAUGAACAGGGAGCAUCUGAUUCCUGCACCUGGAAAUGACCGUGAGAAAGGAGGGGAGGAACCUGUGGACACCGAGUUGAGAAGUGGUGAGGGAGGUGCAGGUCAGUGUGCAGGUCAGUCAUCAGGGGUGACUGGGGGAUAGUGUGAUGUUUGGAGGGCACUGGCUGGGGAGGGAGGAAAUUGGAGCAGAGACACAUGGAAAUGUCUUGACAGAAAGGCCGUGCAGCCUCUGCAGGAAGGAGAGGGGAGUAUAUAUGUGUGUGUAUAUAUAAUAUAUGAUACAUAUACCACAUUUUCUUUACCCAUUCAUCUGGCAACAAACUCUUAGAUUGUUUCUAUAUCUUGGCUAUUGUAAGUAAGGCUGCACUGAACAUGGCAGUGCAAAUAUCUCUUUAAGACAGCAUUCUUUUUACAUUAGGAAAAAGUCAACAAUGAAUUGAAAAGAUUAUGCCC